rnacentral:rRNA from 1 species
UGGUCAUUUUUAGUAUGUAUUGAUCCACUUGAUCCCAUUCCGAACUCAAAUUGUGAAAGUAUUUACGCCUUAUUUACUGCUUAGUUGUGGGACAUAUAAGGUAAUGACUAGA